AUUGAACGCUGGCGGCAUGCCUUACACAUGCAAGUCGAGCGGCAGCGCGGGGGCAACCCUGGCGGCGAGCGGCGAACGGGUGAGUAAUGCAUCGGAACGUGUCCUCUUGUGGGGGAUAACCAGUCGAAAGACUGGCUAAUACCGCAUGAGAUCGCGAGAUGAAAGCAGGGGACCGCAAGGCCUUGCGCGAGAGGAGCGGCCGAUGCCGGAUUAGCUAGUUGGUGGGGUAACGGCCUACCAAGGCGACGAUCCGUAGCUGGUAUGAGAGUA
rnacentral:rRNA from 1 species